UGAAUACAAGGCUGCCUUGGUUGUGGGAA
rnacentral:piRNA from 1 species